ACUCCUACGGGAGGCAGCAGUGGGGAAUAUUGCACAAUGGGGGAAACCCUGAUGCAGCCAUGCCGCGUGUGUGAAGAAGGCCUUCGGGUUGUAAAGCACUUUCAGUAGGGAGGAAGGUAGUGUAGUUAACACCUGCAUUAUUUGACGUUACCUACAGAAGAAGCACCGGCUAACUCCGUGCCAGCAGCCGCGGUAAUACGGAGGGUGCGAGCGUUAAUCGGAAUUACUGGGCGUAAAGCGCGUGUAGGUGGCUUGUUAAGCCAGAUGUGAAAGCCCCGGGCUCAACCUGGGAACUGCAUUUGGAACUGGCAGGCUAUGAAGUUUUGUAGGGGGUGUAGAAUUUCAGGUGUAGCGGGUGAAAUGCUUAGAGAUCUGAAGGAAUACCAGGUGGCGAAGGCGACC
rnacentral:rRNA from 1 species